rnacentral:snoRNA from 1 species
AACCCAUGGUGAGGGCACCUUCUCAAUAGGUCCUUGUAUCUCUCCUAGGUAUCAUAAAGAGUUUCUAGAUCCAUCUGCAAAAUAGAAGAGAUAUCAUUCCUCAAUUU